rnacentral:rRNA from 1 species
AGUUCGAUCAUGGCUCAGAUUGAACGCUGGCGGGAUGCUUUACAUACAAGUCGAACGGCAGCACGGACUUCGGUCUGGUGGCGAGUGAACGGGUGAGUAAUGUAUCGGAACGUGCCUAGUAGCGGGGGAUAACUACGCGAAAGCGUGGCUAGCCGCAUCGCCCUUCGAAGCGGGGACCUUCGGGCCUCGCACUAUUAGAGCGGCCGAUAUCGGAUUAGCUAGUUGGUGGAGUAACGGCUCACCAAGGCGACGAUCCGUAGCUGGUUUGAGAGGACGACCAGCCACACUGGGACUGAGACACGGCCCAGACUCCUGCAGGAGAGCAGCAGUGAAAUUUUGGAUGGAAGCCUGAUCACAGCCAUCCGCAGUGUCCGCGAUGAAGGCCUUCGGGUUGUAAAGCACUUUUGGCAGGAAAGGAACGGCGCAGGGAUAAUACCCCGUGCAACUGACGGUACCUGCAGAAUAAGCACCAGCUAACUACGUGUAGCCGCGGUAAUACGUAGAGGUCACAAACGUUAAUCGGAAUUACUGGGCGUAAAGCGUGCACGGUGGUUGAAAGAAAGAUGUGAAAUCGAAACAACAGACUGCAUUUUUAACUACAAAGGCUAGAGUGUGUCAGAGGGAGGUGGAAUUCCGCGUGUAGCAGUGAAAUGCGUAGAUAUGCGGAGGAACACCGAUAGCGAAGGCAGCCUCCUGGGGAUAACACGUGACGCUCAUGCGAAAAGCGUGGGAGCAAACAGGUUGAUACCCUGGUAGUCCACUUUAAACGAUGUCAACUAGCUGUUGGGGCCUUCGGGCCUUGGUAGCGCAGCUAACGCGUGAAGUUGACCGCCUGGGGAGUACGGUCGCAAGAUUAAAACUCCAAGGAAUUGACGGGGACCCGCACAAGCGGUGGAUGAUGUCGGUUAAUUCGAUGCAACGCGAAAAACCUUACCUACCUUGACAUGUCUGGAAUCCCGAAGAGAUUUGGGAGUGCUCGCAAGAGAACCGGAACACAGGUGCUGCAUGGCUGUCGUCAGCUCGUGUCGUGGGAAUGCAGGUUAAGUCCCGCAACGAGCGCAACCCUUGUCAUUGGUGCUACCCGAAGGGCACUCUAAUGAGACUGCCGGUGACAAACCGGAGGAAGGUGGGGAUGACGUCAAGUCCUCAUGGCCCGCCUGGGUAGGAAGCGCACGUCAUACAAUGAGGUCGGGACAGAGGGUCGCCAACCCGCGAGGAGCCAAUCCCAGAAACCGAUCGUAGUCCGGAUCGCGGUCUGCAACUCGACUGCGUGAAGUCGGAAUCGCUGGUAAUCGCCGGAUCAGCAUGUCGCGGUGAAUACGUUCCCGGAGUCUUGUACACACCGCCCGUCACACACCAUGGGGUGGGGUUUUACAGAAGUAGUUAGCCUAACCGUAAGGAGGCGAUUUACCGAUAGGAUUCAUGACUGAGGUGAAGUCGUAACAGGUAACUCUGUUACUGAUGCUCCCGAAG